CCUCCUCAUUUUAUUCUAGUGAAGAUAUUAAAAUGAAAUAGCAAUUUGACAUGGAAUUUAUUGAGUAUCCAGCAAAAAACAUUAAUUUAAUCUAGUAAUAGAAUUUUAGUGCAAUUUCAACAUAAUGUAACAAAUAAGGUGCCAGCAGUUGCGGUCAUACCUUAAACAUAUUUAAUAUCGUUAGAGUGGGGCACAAAUGUAGGACAUUAAAAAAUUAGAAAGAUAGUAAAAUGUGUUUUAAUUAGUAUUAACUAACAAUGUCUGAAUUUGUUAAUCUAAAAUACCCGAAACUUUAUAAAAUUUAGUAAACUAGGAUUAGAUACCCUACUAUAAAAAGCAAAAAUUAAAACUCUAAGCACUAAAACCGAAUUAUGGUUAAAACUUAAAGAUUAUGGCGGCAGUCUAAAUUAUUCAGGGGAACUUACCAGAUAAUAGAUAACCCCCAAGCAAUUCUACUUAACUUAAUAGUUUAUAUAUUGCCGUUUAGGACUUACUUAAAGUAUGCCCAAUCAUUUAUUAAACAAAUAUAAUACAGGUCAUGGUGUAGCAAAUAGUUAAGCCGUUGAGGUGAGUUACAAUAUUAUUUUUUUUCAGGUGUGAUCUUAAACAGAUCACAAAUAGUUGGACUUGAAAGUAAAGAUACUUUAUAUUAUAAUGAUUAAAUCUUGAAUAUUAUAUUAGAUUGUGCACAAAUCGCCCGUCACUCUCGUAAUUUACAACAAAACAAACGAGAUAAGUCGUAACACAGUAGGUGUAAAUGAAUUUGUACC